CAUGAGUGGCGACGGUGAGUAACGCGUGGGCAACCUGGCCUGUACAGGGGGAUAACACUUAGAAAUAGGUGCUAAUACCGCAUAACGGGGGAAGCCGCAUGGCUUUUCCCUGAAAACUCCGGUGGUACAGGAUGGGCCCGCGUCUGAUUAGCCAGUUGGCAGGGUAACGGCCUACCAAAGCGACGAUCAGUAGCCGGCCUGAGAGGGCGGACGGCCACACUGGGACUGAGACACGGCCCAGACUCCUACGGGAGGCAGCAG
rnacentral:rRNA from 1 species